UCACCCUUCUUUGUGGAUUUUUUUGUUUAUACAGAAAUUCCAUAAUAGCUAGGCAGUAAUCACUAUUAUGGAAAAACUGGACCCUUUCGCGACCGGAUCAAAACCGGCUUAUUAAUUCCGCUGCCUCCCAUACAAGCAACACAUUCGACAUUUUGAAAGUUGAGGAAUGGGGAUCUCUAGUGCAAGAGCCCGAAUUCCCUCGGAGGAAAUAGAUUUCUCUUCACUUUCAUAUGAUGGCCACAUACUUCAAGUAUCGACAUGGCUGGGGAAUAUUGCAGACCUACCCAACACUUCCAUCGCAAAUCUUUGGAAUUACGACAGCAAAUUACAGGUAGACCCGAAAUUGGUCUCACAAGUGAGAGAAUUUUUUUCUUAUAAAGAAGAAUCCAUACCAUAUCUAACCGAUUUUCAGCUGGAACCAUCACAGUCGAAUCCCGUUGCUUGCCAUAUUGUUA
rnacentral:lncRNA from 1 species